rnacentral:rRNA from 1 species
GAUGAACGCUGGCGGCGUGCCUAAUACAUGCAAGUCGAGCGAACGGACGAGAAGCUUGCUUCUCUGAUGUUAGCGGCGGACGGGUGAGUAACACGUGGAUAACCUACCUAUAAGACUGGGAUAACUUCGGGAAACCGGAGCUAAUACCGGAUAAUAUUUUGAACCGCAUGGUUCAAAAGUGAAAGACGGUCUUGCUGUCACUUAUAGAUGGAUCCGCGCUGCAUUAGCUAGUUGGUAAGGUAACGGCUUACCAAGGCAACGAUGCAUAGCCGACCUGAGAGGGUGAUCGGCCACACUGGAACUGAGACACGGUCCAGACUCCUACGGGAGGCAGCAGUAGGGAAUCUUCCGCAAUGGGCGAAAGCCUGACGGAGCAACGCCGCGUGAGUGAUGAAGGUCUUCGGAUCGUAAAACUCUGUUAUUAGGGAAGAACAUAUGUGUAAGUAACUGUGCACAUCUUGACGGUACCUAAUCAGAAAGCCACGGCUAACUACGUGCCAGCAGCCGCGGUAAUACGUAGGUGGCAAGCGUUAUCCGGAAUUAUUGGGCGUAAAGCGCGCGUAGGCGGUUUUUUAAGUCUGAUGUGAAAGCCCACGGCUCAACCGUGGAGGGUCAUUGGAAACUGGAAAACUUGAGUGCAGAAGAGGAAAGUGGAAUUCCAUGUGUAGCGGUGAAAUGCGCAGAGAUAUGGAGGAACACCAGUGGCGAAGGCGACUUUCUGGUCUGUAACUGACGCUGAUGUGCGAAAGCGUGGGGAUCAAACAGGAUUAGAUACCCUGGUAGUCCACGCCGUAAACGAUGAGUGCUAAGUGUUAGGGGGUUUCCGCCCCUUAGUGCUGCAGCUAACGCAUUAAGCACUCCGCCUGGGGAGUACGACCGCAAGGUUGAAACUCAAAGGAAUUGACGGGGACCCGCACAAGCGGUGGAGCAUGUGGUUUAAUUCGAAGCAACGCGAAGAACCUUACCAAAUCUUGACAUCCUUUGACAACUCUAGAGAUAGAGCCUUCCCCUUCGGGGGACAAAGUGACAGGUGGUGCAUGGUUAUCGUCAGCUCGUGUCGUGAGAUGUUGGGUUAAGUCCCGCAACGAGCGCAACCCUUAAGCUUAGUUGCCAUCAUUAAGUUGGGCACUCUAAGUUGACUGCCGGUGACAAACCGGAGGAAGGUGGGGAUGACGUCAAAUCAUCAUGCCCCUUAUGAUUUGGGCUACACACGUGCUACAAUGGACAAUACAAAGGGCAGCGAAACCGCGAGGUCAAGCAAAUCCCAUAAAGUUGUUCUCAGUUCGGAUUGUAGUCUGCAACUCGACUACAUGAAGCUGGAAUCGCUAGUAAUCGUAGAUCAGCAUGCUACGGUGAAUACGUUCCCGGGUCU